AUGCGGGACCUUGCCGCUUCCUUUUUUGAGCGACUAUUCACGUCGGAUGGCUCGCAAGGGGCCAAUGAUCUCCUGGAUAAUAUUGCUACGAUGGUGGAUGCGGGGAUGAACGAGAGGCUAACUGCAGCGAUUACGAAUGAUGAAAGUCAGAUGGCCCUUUUCCAGAUGGGGCCAACUAAGGCUCCGGACCCCGACGGCCUUCCGGCCCUUUUCUAUCAGCGCCACUGGGCUCUGGUUAAAGAUGACGUGUGUCGGGCGGUCAAGGAGUUCCUGGCGGGGGCAGCCACGCCGGAGUCCUUUAAUGACACCGUUAUUUUUAUGAUUCCUAAGAUUAGCUCACCGGAGCUUCUCUCCCAGUUUAGGCCCAUAAGCCUUUGUAACGUGUUAUGCAAGAUUGCUACCAAGGUCUUGGCGAAUAGGCUCGAGAAUAUUCUGCUGCUACUUAUCUCAGAAGAACAAAGUACUUUUGUGCCGGACCGGCUUAUUACUGAUAAUGUCCUUGUGGCCUAUGAAUGUGUGCAUGCGAUUCGUACUAGGAAGCGGAAGAAACCUCUCUGUGCGGUCAAGCUAGAUAUGAUGAAGGCGUACGACAGGGUUGAGUGGAAUUUUUUGGAGAAAAUGCUGCACAAAGUUGGCUUUGCUGAUCAGUGGGUUCAGAUGAUCAUGAGGUGUGUAAAAUCUGCCAAAUUUUGUGUCAAACUCAAUGGAGGCCUUUCUAGGGUUUUCCUUCCCUCUCGGGGCCUUCGGCAGGGUGACCCUCUCUCUCCCUACUUGUUCCUAUUUUGUGUGGAGGGUUUUUCUGCUAUGCUUCGGAGAGCUCAAGGAGAGGGGAUGAUCAAGGUUGUUCCUCUUGGGAGCACUGGCCCCCAUGUUACACAUCUGCUCUUCGCCGAUGAUAGCAUUGUUUUUCUGGAGGGGUCGAGGGAGAACAUGCACACUUUGAGAGAUCCUGCUGAAAUAUGA
rnacentral:rRNA from 1 species